rnacentral:rRNA from 1 species
CCUACGGGAGGCAGCAGCAGGGAAUAUUGCGCAAUGAGCGAAAGCUUGACGCAGCGACACCGCGUGUGGGAUGACGGAUCUAGGUUUGUAAACCACUUUCAGAAGGGAAGAAAAUGACGGUACCUCCACAAGAAGCCCCGGCCAACUACGUGCCAGCAGCCGCGGUAAUACGUAGGGGGCGAGCGUUGUCCGGAUUUAUUGGGCGUAAAGAGCUCGUAGGCGGUUCAACAAGUCGGUCGUGAAAGUUCAGGGCUCAACCCUGAAAUGUCGAUCGAUACUGUUGUGACUAGGAUACGGUAGAGGUGAGUGGAAUUCCGAGUGUAGCGGUGAAAUGCGUAGAUAUUCGGAGGAACACCAAUUGCGAAGGCAGCUCACUGGGCCGCUAUCGACGCUGAGGAGCGAAAGCUAGGGGAGCAAACAGGAUUAGAUACCCUGGAAGUCCUAGCUGUAAACGAUGGAUACUAGACGUAGGAAUUGGAUUAACGAUUUCUGUGUCGUAGCUAACGCGUUAAGUGUCCCGCCUGGGGAGUACGGUCGCAAGACUAAAACUCAAAUGAAUUGACGG